CUUAAAUAUAUUCAGUUUUUAGUUCACACACAAGUUGUUCGACAGAAAGAUAGAUGGGAUAGGUCGGAGAAAUUUAUUACUGAAAUGGUAAUUUUCGGGAAAAAAUGAUUAUAAAUUCAGGUUAAAGCGA